GCCGCUUCCCUCUUUACACUUCAGGGCAUAUCGAUCUUACCCAGGGUGUAGACAGGCUCGUCCCUGUCUGGUCUCUAAGGGCUGGCUGCUUGCCCUUCCCCAAGUCUGCCUUCUGUGGCCCCGAAGCAACCUGGCCCCACCCAUCCCACCACCAAAUAAAUGAGGAGAAAGGUCGAUCAGGGCUCUUUGCAUAACAUCCGCCUUCUCUCUCCAGGAGGAGCGUGUUAGUGCCAUCACACAGGUUGCAGGUGUGACAGGUGGACUGGGGCUGAGGGGCAGCAUGUGACACUCCCCACUUAGGAAAUGUCGUAUCUGUGGAACUGAAAUCUAAACAUGGCGCUCUCACUUCUGCAUGUGUGGGAAGACAUCCCACAUGGUGAGCACCCCGCCUCCAGGCAAAGACCCAACUGCUGGGCCGUCCCCUUGGCUGUUGGGGGACAAACGUCCUCCCUGGGAGAGGUGCAGGGAAGACGCCAGGCGCUCCCUCAGCUGGGCUCCAGCAGAAUUGCCUGGCUCUUCCCGCGAUGACGCAGCCUGUUACCUUGGUGAGCACACCAUCACCCGGGGUGGAGAAACCCUCCAAGACAAAUCCAGAGGAUGGGGCUGCAAUCACAGAAGAGACGACAGCUCAGGCUUGGAGGGCUUGGUUCAUCGUGAGCAGAACUCGGAGUGGAGGCGGGUCUGUGCGGAUGCCAGGGACAUGGCAGGGAAAGCCCUGAGUUAUCUGCCAGCUCCUCAAGGUGCCCAUCGCUCUGCGUUUUCAUUCACCGGAGCACGUGACGUAUUUUUACUGGGGAAGCUGUGUAAAUGUCAGACUCAGGGGGACCAAUCCUAACAUCCUAACAUCCUUUGGAGACCCCGCUCCAGGCAGGCACCGCAUGCUCUGGUGCUCCCAGCCCUGUCUGAAUACCUGAGCCAUUUGAAACAAUACGGUGGACAGUUUGCGGUCCAACGGCUGAACUCGUCUCCCGGGAGUCCAAGUGCACAACAUCGUGUGACAUAGCAUGGCUUUCCCAGAGGCUGGACCCUGAGCCAUAGAACAAGCCAGGGCUUUGCCCUGGACGCAUUCCCACGAAAGGCCUCCAGGCCACAGGUAAGAUCACACGUCCGUUGUCUGCAAUUUGGGCAGAAGAUGCACAACUCACACCACACGCUCAGUUUCCACUUUACAACCUGGCUCCGUAGGUUUUUCUACCUUUGUUAUCUCCAACAAAUUGCGUCUUCUGCCGUACGAGAUAUAGAACUCAGAUACGCUGGGAUGGGGAGCGAUGGCCCAUGGCCUGGCCUGGCGAGGAAACAGGCCUGCUUCGCUUUGUGUUCCAUCCCACCUCAGGGGAGGGAUGACAGCACUACUCAUCAGGUUUCAUUCUGCAACUCUGUGACCCCCACGGAGGCACGGGGCCCUGUCCUAAUGUCGUGACACCUUUUCUCGACGGUCCCUGGGUCCAGGCACUGCACUGAAUGAGCGACUUGCCUGCUGCCCGAGAUCACGAUACAUUGUCGCUUUAGAGCGGGGAGGAUCAGCCAAAUCUCCCAUUGGUCCUAGUCGUGUACCCUGAAAGGAGGCGGUGGGGUGAGCUCAGGCCACCCCCCCCCCCGCCCCCCCUUAACAAACUGCUGGAUAAGAGAGAAUGCAUUUCACAGCUGACUCCCUGUGCUUGCUUUCUCCCAUCCCGGUCUCAAACAUAAAGACUUGCAAAGAAACAGACAUUGCCGAGGCAGAAAGAGGCAUGUUCUUUUUUGUUUUAAAAUGUGUCAAGAACCACAGACAGGAGACCUGCUCCAAGAUCGUGCUACAGAAACGAUUCCCCGCCUGAUGUGAUUCACGCCCAUCUCUCUAGCACGUGCGCGCUUCCUCACCGGAAAUGAAGAGGCAAGCUCGCGGUGUGCACCUCGGCAUCUGUUCUCCUAAUUGUCACGGUUAAUUGGACAGACACAGGAAGGUUCAAAGAUGUGGCUGCCUCCUCAGGUGGAGAGGCAGCGAUGGUUGUGGUUGUGUGUCCAAUUGCUCCGUUUCGUUUAUUUUUGUAAGGAUUCAGCUGUGAAUCUGCUCCUUUUCUUUUCUUCCCUUUUUUGGCGAGCCUUGCUCUAUGAGGCUCCCAUGCUCUUAUUAGUGCACUGUCCUCUUCUGACAACGGACCUGGGGAGGAAGGCUGGGGAGAAACAGGUUUACUGGAAACAAUUACGAGGCUACUGCAGAAUCAGGAGACUGGGGAGUACAGAAUUUUCUUUUAUUCUGUCUCUCUGCACUUGAGUCUCAAGUAUGCCUCGUAUAACUAUGCAAUUAAUCUUGACAUGUAAAGACUGGCCAGAAUUCUAAACCUUAGGAAAACACACCUCAGCAGAAUUCUACAUGAUGUUAUCAUAAAAAGCAUGGGACAGGAAGGGAAUUUAAAUUAUUAAGAAUAACUGUAAUGUAUUUUUACUGCUUUCAUCCAUCCAGUGUGCAUUUAUUGAGCCCCACUGCCUAACACUGCUCUCAGAGAGGGGGCAGCUGAGAACGCUGCCUGCAUUGGGCUUGUUUCACUUUUUCCCUCCACUAUCUUGUCUUGAAGGCUCUUCUAAGAACGAAUCCCGCAGUCUUCUCCAGUAAUUCACUCAAAGACUUAGCCAUCCUCUAGCUGGGAAAUGCCUCCUUGCAGCUAUCUAAAAUCUCUUAAGCUGUUUACUCUUCCCCGGUCCAACCUCUUCAGAAUGACAUUUCUCAAAGAGCCAGGCCUCCCUCGCCUGCCUGGCAACUCGGCAGUGCAUUGUCUGAGGCAUCGCCUCUAAUAGAUGCUGAUAGAAACUGAUUUAAACCUUUACAACCCCUAUUAAUUAUACACUUGAGAUUUCAAUAGCUGGUGAACAAAAGUUUCACUAAUAUGCCGUAAUCAGGCAGAGUGAGACAGCGGUGCAUAAAUUGUAAAUUUAUGUAAAGCGACGUAUAUGGAAGAAAUUAGCCAGCAUGUGUGUACAGAGGGUAGAAAUAUUAGUUAGUGUUGGUGGGUGCCAGCUGUGAAGCUCUGCGCUGCCACCAAGCCUCUCGGGUGGGAACGUAACGGGACGACCAAGAGAGCAAUGCUCCGAGGACGUCGGGCAGAAACGCAGGCUGCAAGUCUCUUAGACAUUAAGUAGCACGUUUUCUUAAACUUUUACUUUAAUGGGCGAGUAAUACUUAUGUUUGAGAGAAAGAUGUGUGAGAGCAAACCAAGCCUCUUCAUAAUGCAGUAAAGCUUCUCAGAAAGAUGCACGGUCUAAAGUUGUAAAACUUGUGUCGUUUCUUUUAGAUGCAGACUUCGUAUUUCCGCCAUAGUGUUUCCCUUUCUGCCUGCGUGUCGCUCACUCGGUUCUCAGCAUGUCUGAUAGUGAAUGAAAUGUACUCGAAAAAUAUCUUGACUAUUUGUUUUAUGACGCACUUGAAGCGUAAGAUAGAUAUAUAUAUAUACUUAUAGUAUUUAACCUCAGAUAUUACUCAGAGGAUUGAGUAAAUUACUUUUUCCUCCUCAGUUAGUGGCACAGUGUCACCAUUGGGUUGUGCAGCGCCCCUGCCUUGUUUAUGUAAUUAAUCAGUGAAUGACCAGACUUCCUUAUUCCUGUAUCCUCAUCCCUUCCCUGACUCUCGCCCCACAGUUGGCAACCGUGUUAAUGGGUUUGAUGUGUGCCUUUUAGUUCAUAUGUCUUCUUGGAAAGUGUAUCAUUUUGUUGAAAUUUUUUUUCUUUUCCCCAAAGCCCCCCAGUACAUGGUUGUAUAUUUUAGUUGUGAGUGCCUCUGGUUGUGGCAUGUGGGACGCCACGUGAGCAUGGCCUGAUGAGUCCUGCCAGGUCUGUGCCCAAGAUCAGAACCAACGAAACUCUGGAGCAUGGAAGCGGAGCAUGUGAACUGAACCACUUGGUCAUGGGGCCGGCCCCUGGAGUGUUUUUAAUAAAUGUAAAAGGUAUUGUCUUGCA
rnacentral:lncRNA from 1 species